CACGUAGGGGCCAAGCGUUGUCCGGAAUUAUUGGGCGUAAAGCGCACGUAGGCGGCUUGGCAAGUCGGAUGUGAAAUCCCUCGGCUCAACCAAGGAAGUGCAUCCGAAACUGCUGAGCUUGAGUACUUAAGAGGAUCGCGGAAUUCCCGGUGUAGAGGUGAAAUGCGUAGAUAUCUGGAGGAACACCGGUGGCGAAAGCGCGAGACUGGGCCAUAACUGACGCUGAGGAACGAAAGCCAGGGGAGCGAAAGGG
rnacentral:rRNA from 1 species